UUAUUUUCGGUGCUUUAACAAUGUUUUUUUGUUCAAAAAAUUGUGCACCAGAGAAGCGCGGUUACGGAGUGUAGUGUGUGCGUGCGUGUAUAAAAUGGCUAGCUUUGAAGAAAAAACGAAGACAGACAUUUGAGAGAGAGAUGGCAAGGCGGCUUUCCAAGUUACAGUACCGUCCUCUUACUGCCUCGAGCAAGCUUUCGGUGAUCCCCUUCUCCACCACUGUCUCUGCCGAAAACCCGCAAAAUUCCACCACCGCCGAUGGACAAGACCACCUCAUUAACGACCAAAUCCACAACCUUCGUGUCCUCCUUCAACAAGGCCGCAACGAAACUGCUUAUAACUUCACCAAAUCUCUCAUUCUGUCCAACCCAUCUUCAUUUUCCUCACCUUCUCACCUUCUCUCUUUUUUCUCUUCCUUUUCUGAUGAUGCUUCUUUAAAUCUUACUCUCUCCGAUAUGUUGCUCUCUGUUUGUUCUGAGUCCAAGAUGCACAGUCAAGUUUCAGAAUUGUACGAUUUCAUGAGGAAAGAGGGGCGGCUUCCUUCGUUUGGUUAUGUGAGGAUGAUUGUUGAAUCUUUGGUGGAAUCCAAGAAAUUUGAUAACGUUCUUGAUUUGUUUAAGGAGAUGGUGGGCUUGGGUUUUAGACCUGAUAAACUUGUUUAUGGGAGAGCAAUCCUAGCCGCAGUGAAAUUGGGGGAUUUGAAGCUUGCUAUGGAGUUGUUUGAGACCAUGAAAAGGAGGAAAGUUGUUCCUAAUGUGUUUGUUUACAAUGUUUUGAUUGGUGGGUUGUGUAAGGAGAAGAGGAUAAGGGAUGCGGAGAAGCUGUUUGGUGAAAUGUCUGUGAGGAAUUUGGUGCCAAAUAGGGUGACUUUUAAUACGCUUAUUGAUGGAUAUUGUAAGGCAGGGGAGGUGGAUGCGGCGAUUGGCUUGAGAGAAAGGAUGAAAAAGGAGAAGGUGGAGCCGAGUAUAAUUACUUUUAACUCGUUGCUUAGUGGCCUUUGUAGGGCACGGAGAAUCGAGGAGGCGAGGUGUAUGUUGAACGAGAUAAAAUGCAAUGGUUUUGUGCCUGAUGGGUUUACUUACAGCAUAAUUUUUGAUGGACUAUUGAAGUCGGAUGACGGGGCAGGAGCUGCUUUGGAUUUGUAUCGGGAGGCAAUUGGGAAGGGAGUCAAGAUUGAUAAUUACACUUGUAGUAUUCUGUUGAAUGGAUUGUGUAAAGAAGGGAAAGUUGAAAAGGCAGAGGAGGUGUUGAAGUCCCUCGUGGAACACGGGCUCGUUCCAGGUGAGGUGAUAUAUAACACUAUGGUGAAUGGUUAUUGUCAAAUAGGCGACAUGGAUAGAGCCAUUUUGACUAUUGAGCAAAUGGAAAGUCGUGGGUUGAGACCAAAUUGUAUUGCUUUUAAUUCUGUGAUUGAUAAGUUUUGUGAAAUGCAGAUGAUAGACAAGGCGGAGGAAUGGGUGAAGAAGAUGGUGGGGAAGGGAAUAGCCCCAAGCGUGGAGACAUAUAAUAUCCUUAUUGAUGGCUAUGGAAGGCUGUGUGUAUUUUCUAGGUGUUUCCAGAUUCUUGAAGAAAUGGAGGAAAAUGGGAAAAAGCCGAAUGUUAUAAGCUACGGCUCUCUCAUAAAUUGUUUAUGCAAGGAUGGGAAAAUUCUUGAGGCAGAAAUGGUCCUUAGGGAUAUGGUAGGCAGAGGGGUCUUACCUAAUGCAAAUAUAUAUAAUAUGCUUAUUGAUGGUAGUUGUACAGUGGGGAAGUUGAGAGAGGCUUUGAGAUUCUUUGAUGAGAUGUCGAAAAAUGAGAUUGGUGCAACGAUUGUAACAUACAAUUCCCUCAUUAAAGGGUUAUGCAAAAUGGGAAAGGUAAAGGAAGCUGAAGAGAUGUUUUUCCUAAUUACCAGUACGGGUCACUGUCCUGAUGUGAUCACAUACAACUCCUUAAUCUCAGGGUACUCAAAUGCUGGAAACUCGCAGAAAUGUCUUGAGCUAUAUGAAACUAUGAAGAAGUUAGGCUUAAAACCUACUAUAAAUACAUUUCAUCCCCUAAUCAGCGGGUGCAGCAAGGAAGGGAUAAAGCUCAAAGAGACACUGUUUAAUGAAAUGUUGCAGAUGAAUGUGUCCCCAGAUCGAGUUGUGUACAAUGCUAUGAUUCACUGUUAUCAAGAGACUGGGCAUGUUCAAAAGGCAUUUUCUUUGCAAAAAGAGAUGGUAGACAUGGGAGUUCAUCCUGAUAACAAGACCUAUAAUAGUUUGAUUCUGGGCCGCUUAAAAGAGGGGAAGUUAUCGGAAACAAAAGUUCUUGUUGAUGACAUGAAGGCUAAAGGAUUAAUCCCUGAAGCUGAUACCUAUAGUUUGCUGAUAAAGGGACAUUGUGACCUGAAGGAAUUUAAUGGAGCAUAUGUUUGGUAUAGAGAAAUGCUUGAGAACGGUUUCCUUCCUAAUGUCUGCAUCUGCAAUGAGCUAUCCACUGGCCUUAGAAAGGAAGGGAGGUUGCAAGAGGCCCAGAGCAUCUGCUCUGAAAUGAUUGCUAAUGGAAUGGAUAAUUUGGACACCAAUGAGGACCUCUCUGAUGUUGCCAAAAUAAAAUUUUUGCAGGCAACACAACAGCACCGAUGCUCAUUAACGAUCAGAUGCUAGCAGUUGAAAUGUGUAGGCAGAGUUCCCUUGUAGUCGCGUUCUCCAGUUCCCAGUUACUUAUCUCAAGUUUGAUCCGACAAGUGAAAUCCGAGAAUUUUCAUCUGCGAAACUGUCAAAACAUCCAAAUCAUGACGUUUGAUAUUCACAUGUGAUUCUUUUUCCAAACUACGAGUUCUUUGCUCUUCUUGUUGCACUAGGCAAGUGUAACGGUGCCAGUUCAUUGGAAUAUGUCAUGACAAACACGAAUGCAAUCGACCCUUCAUUCCUAAAGCCUCUCUUUCGUGCUCCAUCUUUCUCUUGUCUUCUUCACUGCUGUUUUUCACUGGCUUGCUGUGCAGUGCUGGCUAUUUUCCCAGUGCUGCUUCACUGUGUUUCAAUCAAUUGGUUCUUUGACAAAUAGUUUAUGGUUGUGACACAGGAGUGUCCCGUAAUGGUUGUUUUGAUGUUGGGCUACUUGAGUUUGGGUUGGCAAUGCAAAUGAAUGAAGCUGCUGUUUACGCUCAGCCCCUGACCUAAUUUUCAUCUCUUUAUUGUAGGCUCAGCAGAGAACAGUUGAUAAUUUUACCAAGAAGGAUAGAAAAUGAAAAUCAUCAUUGACAAGAACGGUGAUGCACUGAAUAACUAGAAAAUCAAGGCCCAGGUGGGCGUGCAGGCUGUGGGAAGGCAAGAAUCACAAUGCAGCAACGAUUUUCCCAGAUUUGUCAAGCUCCCAGCCAUUUCAAAUUUUAACGAUUAUGAUUACCAGUGCAAUGUUUUAUUCUCACCUCAGAGUUUGCUUUGCAAGAUGGGUACCUCAAUAUGAAACACCAUGUAGCCUAAAGCGUUCAUCAUCUAGACCAGCACAACUACUACAAAAUAAAGAAGCAACGGAACUAUUUGAGAAUCCAGCUAACCUCUUACUUAGACUACCACGUCUACCAUGUUCUUACCACUACGUGCAUGUGCAUCAUCAGCCUUUUCCUCCUUAUCUUGUUAACACACUAAUUUCACUUUAAUUCUGGUCUAAAUUGGUAGGCUGAUGCACAUAACCAUGGAUGCGAAGGGCAAUGAGUGAGUUUUGCGGAGGCUUUGGAAGCGGGUACAGUCUGAGAUCUCAGUCUUCUAGCAUCGUCGCUGCCUAACAACUUCGUCCUGUGUGAUAGAAGAAGAGAGCAACAAUCUCCAUAGAAAGGAGCUGGGGAAGAUGGGCCCACAGCCCCUUACUACAGGCACUUCAAUCUUUUUAAGCAAGUCCUUUGUGUAUUUUUGGCAUUGGCAAACUUUGAAUCACAAAGCAUUACUGAAGGACGCAAGUUAAGCCAUUAACUUACUUUGUCAUGUUAGAACUGAAAUGAUCAA